rnacentral:rRNA from 1 species
AGAACGAACGCUGGCGGCAUGCCUAACACAUGCAAGUCGAACGCUUCCGGGGCUUCGGUCGCGGAGGAGUGGCGCACGGGUGAGUAGCGCGUGGGAACCUGCCCUGUUGUGGGGGAUAACCGAGGGAAACUUCGGCUAAUACCGCAUACGCCCCGGGACUUGGUCUUCAGAUUAGGUCUGGGGGGAAAGAUUGAUCGCAGCAGGAGGGGCCCGCGUCGGAUUAGCUGGUUGGUGGGGUAACGGCUCACCAAGGCGAUGAUCCGUAGCUGGUCUGAGAGGAUGAUCAGCCACACUGGGACUGAGACACGGCCCAGACUCCUACGGGAGGCAGCAGUGGGGAAUAUUGGACAAUGGGGGCAACCCUGAUCCAGCAAUGCCGCGUGAGUGAUGAAGGCCUUAGGGUUGUAAAGCUCUUUCGCCCGCGACGAUGAUGACGGUAGCGGGAGAAGGAAGCCCCGGCUAACGUUCGUGCCAGCAGCCGCGGU